rnacentral:lncRNA from 1 species
AGGCCUCAGAGGGUGACUCCACUCCCAGUUCCUCUGUGUCUGAUGAGUCAGUAAACAGAUUGCUGUGCAAGCAUGAGAACCGGAGUUGGAAUGCUCGGCACCCAGGUAAAGAGCUCUGCAGUUCCAAUGAAGACAAUCGCAAUACUGAGCAAGUAGAGACCGGUGAAUCCUGGGAGAUUUCUGGCUAGCCAGUCUGCCUAAUUGAAGCUCUGGAUUCAGGGAAAGACCUCUGCUCAAAAACAAACAAGCAAACAAGAUGGGAACUGAUUGAGACAGACAGUUCCUGUCCUGGGUGCUCCCACUGUGUGGUCUCUCUUCAGCUCACGGUUCCCUGUCAGCAAUCCCACUCUGUACAGAGAGAACAGCCAGGAGUCACGGACAUCAGUGAGAGGCAGGGCUUUGACCCCAGGAAGAUACUUGCGGGAGAUGGAAGACAUAACCUUAGCCA